rnacentral:rRNA from 1 species
CAGUAGCCGCGGUAAUACAGAGGGUGCAAGCGUUAAUCGGAAUUACUGGGCGUAAAGCGCGCGUAGGUGGUUUGUUAAGUUGGAUGUGAAAUCCCCGGGCUCAACCUGGGAACUGCAUCCAUAACUGCCUGACUAGAGUACGGUAGAGGGUGGUGGAAUUUCCUGUGUAGCGGUGAAAUGCGUAGAUAUAGGAAGGAACACCAGUGGCGAAGGCGACCACCUGGACUGAUACUGACACUGAGGUGCGAAAGCGUGGGGAGCAAACAGGAUUAGAUACCCGCGUAGUCCCUGUCUCUUAUAC